CCUACGGGUGGCAGUAGUGGGGAAUUUUGGACAAUGGGCGAAAGCCUGAUCCAGCCAUGCCGCGUGCAGGAUGAAGGCCUUCGGGUUGUAAACUGCUUUUGUACGGAACGAAAAGACUCUGGUUAAUACCUGGGGUCCAUGACGGUACCGUAAGAAUAAGCACCGGCUAACUACGUGCCAGCAGCCGCGGUAAUACGUAGGGUGCAAGCGUUAAUCGGAAUUACUGGGCGUAAAGCGUGCGCAGGCGGUUAUAUAAGACAGAUGUGAAAUCCCCGGGCUCAACCUGGGAACUGCAUUUGUGACUGUAUAGCUAGAGUACGGCAGAGGGGGAUGGAAUUUCGCGUGUAGCAGUGAAAUGCGUAGAUAUGCGGGGGAACACCGAUGGCGAAGGCAAUCCCCUGGGCCUGUACUGACGCUCAUGCACGAAAGCGUGGGGAGCAAACA
rnacentral:rRNA from 1 species